rnacentral:lncRNA from 1 species
GCAGACCUGGGUGGUCCCAGGACUCCAGGGCCUGCAGUGGUGGGGUAGGGUGGGGUGGGGGCACUGCAGAGCUUCCCAAGGAAGUCAGGCGACCUCGCCUCCGGAUAUUCAGAAGUGCUAGUCCACUUCUGGCAGCCUGAACUCUUCCUCCUUUUUUUGAAAUCCGAGAAUACUCUUCCUUCCAGGGAGAGAAACUGACCUGUAAUCCCAGCUACUCAGGAGGCUGAAGCAGGAGAAUCGCUUGAACCUGGGAGUCAGAGGCUGCAGUGAAGCGAGAUCGCAACAUUGCAUUCCAGCCUGAAGUGCUGCUGUAGGUACUAUGGCUCCUGAAGUUGCUUUCCCUGCAGUAACUGGAGUCCUCCUCGUCGUCUUCCAGCUCCUCCGGUGCGUGUGCUAAGCUCAGGUCUGAGCACUGGCGGAUCCCAUGGGUGUGGCUCUGAGGAAAUUGACGCAGUGGACUGCUGCCGGACAUGGAACUGGAAUCCUCGAAAUCACCCCUCUAAAUGAAGUGAUAUUGAAAGAAAUUAUUGUUUGUGGAGAAUUUUAUCUAUAAACAUCCCCAAGAGGCAAAAUUUGUUUUUGUGGAACCACUUGAGUGGAACACAAGUUUGGCGCCCUCCGCAUUUGAAUCAGGUUAUGUUAGGGGAUUAGCUUCAAUGAAGACCAGCAAAAGGAAAAGGAUCAGCUUGGCAAAGCCCCCAAGAAGGAAAAAGCAGCUGCCCUCCACAAAGACAUUUCUGGUUCAGGCAAGAGGUCACUGGAGAAGAACCAAAUUAAUUUUUGGAGGAAUCAAAUGACCAAGAGAUGGGAACCAAGCUUAAACUGGAAGACCACUGUUAAUUACAAAGACUAUGCUCAGCAAAAGAAAUCCAAGAGGACAAACACACAGGAAAACUUGAAAAACCAAGACCAUCUGUUUCACACGGAAGAGCACAAUUACUUCGGAAGAGUGCUGAAAAGAUUGAGGAAACUGUUAGCGAUAGCUCCUCAGAAAGUGAGGAAGAUGAAGAACCACCUGACCAUCGUCAGGAAGCAAGUGCAGAUUUGCCAUCAGAAUAUUGGCAAAUUCAGAAGCUGGUGAAAUAUUUAAAGGAAGUUCUAGAAGAUAUUUUGGACCUUGAUUUAUCUGUCUCAGAAACAGACGAUUUUAUCCAGCUUGUAAGUGGCGAAAAGACAGUGUUUGGAUCCAUUCCACUGGCUCAUCCAUAUGGGGGCCAGCAGAAACAGGUGAACAAAAGCAGCCCUUCCAGCCUUCAAAUAUUGUCUUGAGAGAGCAUGAUGAUUGGAGCUGUUGCUAAUUAGUCACCAAAAGUGGAAUCCUGGCCAGGCACAGUGGCUCACGCCUGUAAUCCCAGCACUUUUGGAGGCCGAGGUGGGUGGAUCACAAGGUCAGGAGUUCGACUCUGGCCAACAUAGUGAAACCCUGUAAAAAUAUAAAAUAUUAG